GAGCAUCGAUGAUUCUGAGCAAAAGGAAUGCAUAGGAAACGGGUGGGGAUGGAAAAUAAAACAGAAAGAACCAUUGCCAUCUGGCUCAGGUUUUUUGAAUUGCAAAUUUGGGGAGAAAUAGAAUAAAUAGGAUAACAGUGGUGGAGAUU
ensembl:ncRNA H22K11.10 ncRNA